UACAGAGGGGGCAAGCGUUAUUCGGAAUUAUUGGGCGUAAAGAGCUCGUAGGCGGUCUGUUACGUCUGCUGUGAAAACCCGGGGCUUAACCCCUGGCUUGCAGUGGAUACGGACAGACUAGAGGUAGGUAGGGGAGAAUGGAAUUCCCGGUGUAGCGGUGAAAUGCGCAGAUAUCGGGAGGAACACCGGUGGCGAAGGCGGUUCUCUGGGCCUUACCUGACGCUGAGGAGCGAAAGCGUGGGGAGCGAACAGG
rnacentral:rRNA from 1 species